rnacentral:lncRNA from 1 species
CACAAAAUCAUCAACAUAAAAGAAUGAUUAAGGAUAUUAAAAGUACAAUUCUUCAUAUGCACAGAUAACAAUUAAUUGGGAAGCAUCUCUUGCAAUUCACCAUUUUCAAUCAUCUCCGAAACAAUAUCUAAACCACCGACGAAUUCACCUUUAAUGUACAAUUGAGGGAAAGUUGGCCAAUCGGAAAACACUUUAAGACCUUGGCGUACAGAAUCAUCAGCCAAUAUGUUAAAAAAUCCAUACUGAACGUUUUGCUCACGAAGUAAUCCAACGAGCUUACGACUAAAACCACAUGCAGGUUCUGAAGGAGUACCCUUUAAAAAGAGCAUAACAUUGUGAGCAUUUGUUAGCGUGCUCAACCUUUCAUUUAGUUCAGAAUCCAACCCAUUUGGAGCUUUAGAGGUAUUGGAAGUAGUGUUGGUAGUCUGAACGGAAUUUACUUGAGUUUCCACGGACGCGUUGGUAGAGGAUAUUUGGGAGAUAAGGGGUUGAAUAUACUCGUCAAUAGCAGCCUUCAAUUUUUGAGGAUUUGCCCCCGAAAUUCUAGCCAAAACUUUUGCUCCGUGGAUUAAAACAAAUAGAGGAACAGCGUUUACAUCAAACGACUCUGCUAUAUCGGAAAAUUUUUCAGCUUCAAUUUUUAAGAAAACGGCAUUUUUCGUGUCCUUUGCAAAUUGAUCAAAGACUUGGUUCAUUUGCUUGCAUGGAGCAGCCCAUGGUGCAUAAAAAUUGAGUAAAAUUAUUUGCUCUUUUCCAUUUUGCAAUAUCUCUUGAAAUUGUUCAACAAAAGUAAUUUCGACGCUCAUUUCCAAUCAAAAUAGCACAGCUUGAGGAAUUAUUUCUUUUCCUACUUUUUUUUUCAAAAACCUAGUUUAUUCUUUUUAAUCAACAAUCAACGCCCUAUUUUUUCCUAGUUGGUUGUCGGCAGGUUCGGCUGAGCAGUGUAGAAAACGUAUCUAGUAAAAUCUCUUCCUUGCACAAUAGGCGACGCAAAUGAUAUAAUUGCAGCAAAAAACAUAUCCAAGUAAAUUACUCGAAAUUUUUUAGUUAAACCACUUUUGAUGUACGUUUUGAUGAUUCUUCUUCACUUUUUUCAUUGUCUAUUCAUUAAACGGCAUUCUCGAUCUCAUUUUUUUAAUUACCAUCGUGACUGAUCAGAUAACUUUAUCCCUCGGUAUUAAAACGUCUGGAAAAUAAUUUUUUCGGCAAAAAAAACUAGUGUGUUGCGCUUAUACUCCGAUUCUACGUAAUACCCAAACAAUUCUGUUAACAUUUUAUUUUUGUAUGUUGUACAUAAAAUUAACAGUCGCUUUACUAGCCAAAUGAGUUUAUAACAAGCGACCAAAACAACCAAGAUGAGAUAUGUUUCAUACUUGAUAAAAACAACAGCAUACACAUUGAUUGAUAUAGUUAAAGUAUUAAAAAAUUGCAUUGUACUGCUCAGGGCAAGCAUUUCUUACACACCUCAUUCUUUUGAUAGUACGCAAAUUGCAGUAAACCAUAUUGAAAGAUAGAAAGAAUAUAUUUCUAAAAUCUUUUUAGUUAUUUGAACAUCUUGAGUUGCCGACUGAACAUAAGUAAAGAAUAGUAUGCAAAUUAUGUUAAAGCUUCACAUAAAUUAUGGGUUUGCAACACGAAUUGACUAUACAGUUUUUCUAUAUUGAGUGUAUAUUCCGCCACAGGGGUACGCCUUCAGCAUACAGAUUAUUUUACCUAUAAUUGUGAGUGUUAUCUGAUUUUUACCAAGAAGCUAUAGUGUUAUGUAGUUUAUUUCACAAAAACCCUAUAACAUCAAAGCUGCGCAUUUGUGC